GCUGCUCGGAAAUGCACACCGCUACGAGGUGAGCAGCAGGCAACGGUCUUAUGACUGGCUGAGAUGUGAA
rnacentral:ribozyme from 1 species